rfam:Ictidomys tridecemlineatus contig082109, whole genome shotgun sequence.
UGGGUUGUAGCUCAGUGGUAGAGUGCUUGCCUUGUAUGUUUGAGGCCCUGGGUUCGAUCCUCAGCACCACAU